AUGCGAGCGGCGGGGCUGCGGCGGCUGCUGCUGCUGCUGCUGGCGGGGCUGGCGGCGGCACCGGGCGGCGGCGGCGCCGCGGCGGCGGAGCAGGGCGGGCUGCCGGCGAAGAAGCUGCGCAUGGCUUACGCCACCGGGCCGCUGCUCAAGUUUCAGAUCUGUGUCUCCUGAGGCUACAGGCGGGUGUUUGAGGAGUACAUGCGGGUCAUCAGCCAGCGGUACCCAGACAUCCGAAUCGAAGGAGAGAACUACCUUCCUCAACCUAUCUAUAGGCACAUAGCAUCCUUCCUGUCUGUCUUUAAACUAGUAUUAAUUGGCUUAAUCAUCGUUGGCAAGGACCCGUUUGCUUUCUUUGGCAUGCAAGCUCCAAGCAUCUGGCAGUGGGGCCAGGAAAACAAGGUGUACGCCUGCAUGAUGGUCUUCUUCCUGAGCAACAUGAUUGAGAACCAGUGUAUGUCCACUGGGGCUUUUGAAAUCACUUUGAAUGAUGUCCCAGUGUGGUCUAAGCUGGAGUCUGGCCACCUCCCUUCCAUGCAGCAGCUUGUACAGAUCCUUGAUAACGAGAUGAAGCUCAAUGUGCACAUGGAGUCAAUGCCCCAUCAUCGAUCAUAGCCCCAUUGAUCAGCACUGAAACUUCUCGUAAGUCUCCUCCAGUCACCAGUGCGUGUGCCCAGGCGUUGGGUGGUGGUUCCCGGGCCGCGUGGUGCAGACCCAUGAAGGCCUGCACUGAAGACAGCCGCUGUUGGUGCAGGCUGGAUGCCUCUCUUGCAGCCACGUUGUGCCUCCUGGACAAACACUCAAUGAGCCCUGUUUCAGUGCUGGCCAGUCCACACUGCACAGCCAUGAGUGCAAUAAUACUGUAUAGUUUUUUUAAGACUUCAUUCGACCAGUUCAUAGAUCAGCAAUGCAGGCAUUACUAAUGGUAACUUAUUUUAUAUUCAUGUUUCACACUAUGGCAGAUUGAGUUGAUACCUAAUUUUUCCUUGGAAAAAGAGAAGUUUGUUUAAUCUGUUGUAUUUUAUAUGAAUUUAUGUUCUUUUUGUAGUUUAAAAUGAAGUUAUAGGAGUGUCUGAUAUUGUCCUAAACUGUUGAGUAAUUGAUAGCUGUCUAUCAAAUCUCUUUAAUGUGGUUAAAACAGGUUUGUAUAUUUUUCAAAAUCUAUGGCAGAGUCGAACAGUGCAUUAUAUACUGAAUUAUAUAAGCAAAAUUAUAUGCAGAAUUAUUACAUCACUUGGUGACUUCAGUGAAAAUUAAGAUCAGCUGCUCUUUAAUCAUGUGGGCCAGCUCCAGCAAUUCUUCCUUGGCCAUUUGAGAGAUGAGCUGGGCCUUCCUGCUGUCCUGAAUGGAACCCAAAAACAUUAAUUGAAAUAAAGAGUUCCCAUUUCCUGUGUGAA